UACGGAGGAUGCAAGCGUUAUCCGGAAUGAUUGGGCGUAAAGGGUCCGCAGGUGGCAGUGUAAGUCUGCUGUCAAAGAAUGAGGCUUAACCUCAUCAAGGCAGUGGAAACUACACAGCUAGAGUACGGUCGGGGUAGAAGGAAUUCCUGGUGUAGCGGUGAAAUGCGUAGAGAUCAGGAAGAACACCGGCGGCGAAAGCGUUCUGCUAGACCUGUACUGACACUGAGGGACGAAAGCUAGGGGAGCGAAUGGG
rnacentral:rRNA from 1 species